UAUGGAUUCUCUUCACGCAACCAUCCAGCUGUCCUGAUGCAUUGGCAGGCUGACCCGGUCUCCAAGAGCACAGUCAACCUGGACUGAUUGUCAUCCACAGCAGCACUGUGGCUGGGUCUGAAGCUGGUGCCAGCUGAGGUGCUUGGCAGAGAUGCACAGGCUGCCGGGUUUUUUUGACUCUCCAAAGAGCUGCAGGGCCAUGUGCUGACGUUGACACAGGCUGGCACUGUGCUUGGUAAAUGUUCAGUGAGGAAAGGCCUUAUCCAGUUCCUUGUUUUCGGUCAGUAAAUGCCAUGGAUGAUGUGGGUGGGAGGCUGCUG